UCCUCUCCCAAACGUAGCCAUGAUGCUGUACCGGGGCGAGGCCUCGCUCCCUCACCAGCUCCCACCGCCAGGCGGCGCUCGUGCAAGAAGCCCCAGCCUCGUCCUCCACGCCCCGUGCUCUACACCUCUUCUGCUGCCCGCCUCUGCUCUUCCUAGAAACCGCGCCAACGAGGAGCCGGGGCUGUUGAGUUCCUGCGGUGCCCCUGGACUCCCAAGCCCGGCUGAAAGGGGCAGGCUGGAGGCCAGGGAUCCUUCUGGCUGUUCACCCUGUUUCUCUCAGAGGGAGAUUAGGAAUCUCACAGUAACGGAGUGGAGUCGGAGGAGACAGCCCACCCCCAAAUCUUCGUGAAAACUCUGAGUCAGCAAAGCCAAACUCAGAGAUGCCGAUGGAGCAAAGAAGAAGAGACCGGCCGGAGGCGCCCCCAGGUCCCUUUGCCUCAUUCCCUCCACCAACUCUCCCCUGCCAGCCCCGCGCUGCGGAGACCCGCACUUCUGGCUCCUUUUCCAACCAGGCAACUGAAUGUCUGCCCCACCCCACCCAGCCUUGGCCCAGGGCUGGUGGAAGGGCACUGGCCGGGAAGGGCAGGUGCCAGUCACCUGUGGUCUUGUGGGCACCACAUCAGAAAAAAAAGCUGGGGGCCAUGUUUUCAGAAGAUUCAAUUUUCUGGCCCAUUUACACCUUGAUCAUUGUCCUUUAAGGCUCAGCGAGCCAUCAAGAACCUCUACCUGGAGAGCCCCUGCUCAGCCCUCAGGUCUCGGCUCACCUCUUCUUUGGGGAGCCCUUUUCUGACUCAGAUCCCUGACCCCUAGCUUUGGCUGGGACCCUUGGCUUUAUGCUACAAAGUUUCACUUCUCUUAGCAUAAUGCUCAUCACAUUGUUAUUACUUAUUUAAAUUAAUGACUUUUUAUUAUUAUCAAAUUUGUUAUUGGAUUGCUAUUAUUUAUCUAAUUUGCUUUCCUUCUAUAAGCACCAUAGGACAGGAACGCAUUGUUCUGUUCACUCCUGUAUCCCGAGGA